ACGAUCCCGACAAUGCUUCACUGCAGCUCGACAGUGCUCCAUUGCAACCCCAGGACGCUGCAAUGAGUCCCGACGGCGCUUCAAUGCAAUCCCGAUGAAGCUUCAAUGACCUCCGGUGGCUUCAUUGCAGCUCCGGUGUGCUUCACUGCAGCUCCGAUGAUGCCGUUUCACAAGCGAACAUUGCGUUGAAGCAUGCUCCGCCUAUGAGAACUGUCGGCUGCAGCGUCGUUGAGGUUGUUGCGGUAGCAACAAGAUGAACGAGCACCGGCGUCGUUUGUCGGGGGCAUGCAGCACCGAGACUGCUGGAAAAUGGAGGCGUCUCCAUUGGCCGUGCUCGCUUCAUGGAGCAGCUCAUGCUGGCUGGCAGCAGCUGGCCAGCCGAGCCACUGCUUUGCAGGUCGUGCUGCCCGGAGCACGCAGCCAGCGCGGGCGAGCAGCAAAAGCACCUCCUACGACCGGGCGGCGGAGCUUGCCUUGGCUAGCUGGCUGCGUUGGCUGGUUUGCUGCCUAGGUGAGGUAAGCCAUCA
rnacentral:lncRNA from 1 species